GCGAGUGCCUGUCAGCGCACGUGCCCCCCGGAAGCCCACCCGGCCUGGCCAGAGAGAAGGUGUUGGAGGCCCUCGAGAAGGCGGCGGCGGCGGCAGCCCUGGAGAAGGUGUCGGGGGACGGCGGCGGCGGCCCUUGAGAAGGCGUCGGCGGCCUCCCCGGCCCCGGCCAGCCUGGCCUGGCCACAGGGAAGUUAGCAGCCGCCAUGGCGGCCCCAGCCCGGCCAGAGGGAAGUUGGUGUAGGCGGCUGCAACCCCGGCUAGCCCUGAGGGAAGUCGGUGUAAGCGGCGGAGGAGACGGCGUCGCGGUCAGAGCGAGUUUCUUUGGAGAAGCCAUAGUGGCUUCAACGUGAUGGUGGAGGAUGAGACAGGUCCCUGUGGCUUUUCUGGGUAUGCCUGCCAAGCAUGGCAGCUGCUCCAUGCCAUGAGAAGGAAGAGCUAUCUGCUGCAUGCUGGAGGCUGUAGCCUGUGGCACCAUGGCUCCCCUUGCUGCAGUGGGUGGCAGCGACGGAGACUGCAGAGCGCCAGAGAGAAUGUUGAUCCUGGCUCUUUCUGUAACUUGUAUUCCCACGACAUUCUGGCCAUCAGAGCUGAGCAAAAAGGGGCUUCCAGCUUCGAUCUGACCGUUUGUGGGAUCUCCCGAAGACGAUGUUUCUGGUGGGUGGCCAGAAAGAUAUUCUUGCUGGACCGAUGGGUUGGAGACGCGCCAGGUUCUGGAAGUUUCCUGACACCAGAAUGGAGGCACAGAGGCAUGACUGCUUGAACCGCCAAGGCCUGAGAUGGCUGGGCCAGAAGCUGCCAGAUUGUCACACGGAGAUGAGCUUCGACGGAUAGUGCCCAGUGGAAGCACCACUGAGUCACAGAUGCGGCCCCAGGAUGCUGUAGGAGGCAGGAGGCACAAGCUGCAGCCAGGAGCAGGUCAGCUCCAGGCUGCCGUAAGGCCCUGGGGUCGAAUCCCAGCCCGGUAAGAAGGAUGCAGGGAAGGGGAAGUGCCUCACCGCUGCAGUUGUGAAAGCAAGUCCAGAAGCCGCUCCAGGCCUGUCAGGAGGUCUCUAGAAGCUGGAAAUCAGGAGACCGGGUUAGGUCAGUGAGGGAGGGGCCUGGGAUCUCACAGGAGGUGGAGUGGAUGUUUCUUGAGGGAAGACCAUGGGGAGUCAGACCCUGGAAACCACAUGUCUGUGUCCAAGGCCACAUGGCCUGGACAGUGAUAGCGAGGCACGGAGGGCAAGGCUUUGUUGUCCACAAAGGGCUUCCACACACAGACCCCUCUAUCCCCAUAGUUCUCACAGCUGCCCUGUGGGGAGAAAGGACUGGGGUGGUCUCAAAGAGGAAUCAGCCUUAGCAGAGUUGAACAGCUGUCCACAGCCCCUUCACCCCUGUCCUGAUUCAGACAGGCAUUGGUCUCCUCCCCCUACACUGUGCCCUGCUGGGGAACACCCAGUCCUUGGGUCACCAUGGUUUCAUGCCAGCACAGAAUCUGAGAGGGACCCGGGGUUCUGAUUUCCUUCCUAGGAGCCCCCACCUCAGGCUUCUUCAACUGACUUCCUCAGACAGAGUCGCUUCUCUCUGGGGACAGACGAGAUCAAAUGAACUCUAGUGUGCCCCGGCAGAGCCUUACCUUUCAGACUGCAGUUUUUCUUCCUGCCUUUGGGCCUCCCCCUCCACUGACCUUGACACUGGGACAGAAGAUGACCCUGGGAGAGAAGGUGACCCUGGGAGACAAGAAAGGGCGAGGGGCUGAGACCAGCUCUCGCUCUUCACCCCCAGUCCAGCCGCGGUGCUCACGAACCCCACAGCUCUCUCGUCUUGCUCAGGGAGCGGUGUGCUUUCUCCCACUCUUGUUUAAGUGGAUGAUAAACUGCUUUUCUUCUUAGAAAAACAUGAAGAGGGGGCCAGACGCGGUGGCUCACGCCUAUAACCCGAGUGUUUGGGGAAGCCAAGAAGGGUGGAUCACCUGAGAUCAGAAAUUUGAGACCAGCCUCACCAGCAUAGUUGACACCCUGUCUCUACUAAAAAUAACAAAAAUUAGCCAGGCAUGGUGGCGCAUGCCUGUGACCUCAGCUACUUCGGAGGCUGAGGCAGGAGAACUGCUGGAACCUGGGAAGCAGAGGCUGCAGUGAGCCGAGAUCAUCAUUGCACUCCAGCCAGGGGACAAGAGUGAGACUCUGUCUCAAAAAGCAAACAAACAAUAAAACCCACCAAAAAGAGGGAUUUACUGUAUGAGGAAAUAUAUACAUCAUAUAUAUUUCAUAUAUCAACUAUAAUAUACAUAAUGUAUAAUAUAUAAUAUAAUGUAAGUAAUGGUAGAGGUGCUCCUCUACUUGAACACCCAGGCUCAGGCCCGCUGGCACACCUGAGCUGUCAGGAUUCUGCUUCUCAGGCGAUCAGAGGAGACUCCAGGCCCAGGUGGGAGGCCCUCGGAGGCUCAGCACAGCCCCCAGAUCACCCCACACAGAUAAGGCUGGGCCCCCAGCCACCUGCCCCAGGAAAGGGCUUAUGAGCAUUUCCCCACAGAGACCUCCCCCAUGUCCUGAUUUGUCCUCACCACUGAGUCCAAGGGUUUGGUUUUGCCCUGACACCUCCUGUUCUCUCCCACAGAUGGACUUAGAGCUUGGGAUGGAAAUCCCAGUCCCGACCAACCCCUGGCUGCUCUGACUCCCUGGAAGGACCAUGUUCUGGUCUCUCCUGACACUUCCCAUUGCAGAAGUCUCUCCACUGGAUUUGGAAAAGUAGAGCUAAUAAUAGAAAGAAAGGAGAGAAUUGUGCUGUAUCUCUGCCCCUUCGUCUGAAGAGCCAAUAAUGACCAAGUCCUUGCUGGAGUUUUGCUCUUGUUACCCAGGCUGUAGUGCAAUGGUGCGAUCUCGGCUCACCACAACCUGAGGGAGGAGGUUUAACAAUGCAGUGGGAACUGCAGUGUGUCUCCUCCAUGCCCCUCACAUUUAGAACAAUACAAGAGCUUGAGGAAAACUUCAGCAGUUUGCUGAAACUAUGUCGCAGUUCAGCAAAGAAGAAGCUCCUGUCACAGAUAUCCUCACUGAUUUCAACGCUGAUACCCACUUUGUGCAGGGUUUGCUAGAACUAGGAUGUCAGAAAACCAUUAAGGCAGGAUCUACAAGAGGUAAAUAUUUCCAAAGAGCAGUAAUAGCCCCUUGACCCCCACCCCCACUUCAUAUAUUCAUUCAGUUCGUCUACACAGCCUGGCAGGGUGCCACGUCAUGACUUCCACUUGGGAUUCCCAAGAUCUCCUCUCAAUUGGGCAAGAAGCAAACAUCUGGGGGGAAUUUUGGAAACUGAGGCCAUCUCUACAGGAACCCAUGUGGCCAUGCUGUAGUGUGGUCAGGCUGGUGACUCUUACCAAUUAAACAGCCAGUCCACUCACCACUAAGUGGAUCCCACUGGUUGGUUGAUUAUUGCUGCUGAUGUGGUCCCCUCUCCCUGACAAAACUUGCACAGGGUCGCAAAGGACUUCACACUAUUUCUUCCCCUCUACUGCCAAACAAGGGGCAUCUUGACUCUUCCAGAAUCAGACGUAAAAGACAAGGUUGGUAAAAUCAGUAUCCAUCCCACCUGAAGCUAUGAUUAGCCAGUGUGUACAAACAUGGCACUUUUAUUUUAUUUUCUAUUAUUUUAUUUUUUUGAGACAGAGUUUCUAUUUUGUUGCCCAGGCUGGAGUGCAGUGGCGUGAUGUCAGCUCGCUGCAACCUCUGCCUCCCGGGUUCAAGCAAUUCUCCUGUCGGUCUCCUGAGUAGCUGGGAUUACAGGCGCCCGCCACCAUGCCCAGCUAAUUUUUGUAUUUUUUAGUAUAGACAGGGUUUCAUCAUGUUGGCCAGACUGGUCCUGAACUUUAGACCUCAGGUAGUCUACCUGCCUCAGCCUCCCAAAAUGCUGGGAUUACAGGUGUCAGCUACCGCACCUGGCCUGGACAUGGCACUUUUAAAAAGUUUUUUUCAGCAGGGAGCAGUGGCUCACGCCUGUAAUGCCAGCACUUUGGGAGGCCAAGGUGGGUGGAUCACAAGGUCAAGAGAUGGAGACCAUUCUGGUCAACAUGUUGAAACCCCAUCUCUACUAAAAAUACAAAAAAUUAGCUGGGCAUAGUGGCGCGUGCCUGUGAUCCCAGCUACUCAGGAGGCUGAGUCAGGAGAAUUGCCUGAACCCAGGAGGCGGAGGUUGCGGUGAGCCGAGAUCGUGCCAUUGCACUCCAGCCUGGGUAACGAGAGCAAAACUCUGUCCGCCCCCCCCCCAAAAAAGUAGAUAUUUUAUAGAUAAGAGAUGACAAAAAGGAAACCAAAACACAUGGGAAGUAAUAAGGACUCUUGGGGUUUGGACGGGUAUUUUGGAACUACCCGUUGGACGUCAACA